rnacentral:rRNA from 1 species
UACUAUGUUACGACUUAUCUCAUCUUAAUAACGAGAGUGACGGGCGAUGUGUGCACAUUUUAGAGCUAAAAUCAUUAAAACAAUUCUUAUUAUUAAUUACUAUUAAAUCCCCCUUCAUAAAACAAUUCCAGGCCUUAAUCCGUUUAUCUUAUAAAUAUUGUAAUCCAUUUCCACUCAACCAUCAACUGCACCUUGACCUGAAAUAAAAUCAAUUAUAACUUAAAGAAAAUUACCCUAAAAAGAUCUUCAAAUAAACGGCGGUAUACAUAUUAAAUUAUAUUGAGUAAGGUUCAACGCGGAUUAUCGAUAACGGAACAGAUUCCUCUAACUAGACUAAAAUACCGCCAAAUUCUUUAAGUUUCAAGAUCAUAUCUAAUACUACUCAAGUUAAAAAUUUUAAAUCUAAAAUAAUAGGGUAUCUAAUCCUAGUUU